rnacentral:tRNA from 1 species
AUUUAUAUAGUUUAAUAAAACAUUACAUUUUCAUUGUAAAAAUAAAAUUAUUUUUUUUUGUAAAUU